rnacentral:ncRNA from 2 species
AAACAUCUUCAGGGUAGGGUGAAAGUCCCAACCGGCGGUAAAGUCCGCGACUCCUACGGGAUUGAACUUGUGAAAUUCAAGUACCGACAGUAAAGUCUGGAUGGAAGAAGAUUAAU